CAGCCUCCUGCUCCGGGGUUAACUGAUGGAGAAUAUUCAGGGCUGAGCUUCAGGAGGAGAUAACAACUUGUGGUGGACUCCAACCUUUCCCCAGAGCAGCUUGUGCCCAGGUGAAUUGAAUCCUGUCCUUUGGGAGUAAACCCAGGUUCUCCUGCACAGGACACUGCACACGUGCACCCAGAACCAGGUGGGCCAUGGCACACCCCUGCUGCAGACAUGCACAUCCCUCUGGAAAGCACCUGCAGGGGAACUGAAGUGUGCCAGCUGACUGCUCCUGGCCCCAUCAGCAUUGUCUCCUCUCCUAAAUGCAAGGCUCAGCCAGGCACAAGGGGGACACAAAGUGCUUGCUGCUGAUCAGAC
rnacentral:lncRNA from 1 species